rnacentral:misc_RNA from 1 species
GAACGCACAUUGCGCCCCCUGGCAUUCCGGGGGGCAUGCCUGUCCGAGCGUCAUUGCUGCCCUCAAGCACGGCUUGUGUGUUGGGCCUCCGUCCUCCUCCCGGGGGACGGGCCCGAAAGGCAGCGGCGGCACCGCGUCCGGUCCUCGAGCGUAUGGGGCUUCGUCACCCGCUCUUGUAGGCCCGGCCGGCGCUUGCCGACACAUCAAUCUUUUUUCCAGGUUGACCUCGGAUCAGGUAGGGAUACCCGCUGAACUUA